rnacentral:rRNA from 1 species
AGUGAACGCUGGCGGUAGGCCUAACACAUGCAAGUCGAACGGCAGCACAGGAGAGCUUGCUCUCUGGGUGGCGAGUGGCGGACGGGUGAGGAAUACAUCGGAAUCUACUUUUUCGUGGGGGAUAACGUAGGGAAACUUACGCUAAUACCGCAUACGACCUACGGGUGAAAGCAGGGGACCUUCGGGCCUUGCGCGAUUGAAUGAGCCGAUGUCGGAUUAGCUAGUUGGCGGGGUAAAGGCCCACCAAGGCGACGAUCCGUAGCUGGUCUGAGAGGAUGAUCAGCCAAACUGGAACUGAGACACGGUCCAGACUCCUACGGAGGCAGCAGUGGGGAAUAUUGGACAAUGGGCGCAAGCCUGAUCCAGCCAUACCGCGUGGGUGAAGAAGGCCUUCGGGUUGUAAAGCCCUUUUGUUGGGAAAGAAAUCCAGCUGGCUAAUACCCGGUUGGGAUGACGGUACCCAAAGAAUAAGCACCGGCUAACUUCGUGCCAGCCGCCCGCCGUAA